GACGGUCCUGGACGAUCGUGUCUUCACUCGUAAUGAAGGGGUCUGGGAUUCGAUUCCCCAAGGCGGCUCCA
rnacentral:tRNA from 1 species